UGUCACCUUCAGGGCAGAACACAGGAGACAAGAAAAUAGCAAGAUUUUUAAAGUAGCCUGGACAUAACACUGAAGGAAAUUGACAUGCUUCGCAAUGUCUUACUACAAAUGAGUGAUUAUGCCCUGGUAAUGAAGGGAACAGGACUGGAAGGCAGAAUGGCAAGCAGACCAACUUGUUGCUUCACUUGGACCCACGCUACACCUAAACAAUUAGUCAAUAAAAGUUACUAUACAGACUAACAUCCUUAGUUCUUGAAUGUUUCCCAAGUUUUUUAUGUGGAUUUAGUCCAAGAAUAAAAUCACUGACUGGUCAUUAAAAACAGCAGAUUAAAAGAGGAACUACUUACA